rnacentral:rRNA from 1 species
GACGAACCGUGCGAACGUUAUUCGGAAUCACUGGGCUUAAAGCGCGUGUAGGCGGGUGGGAACGUCGGCCACUGAAAGCCCCCCGGCUCAACCGGGGAAGGGGUGCCGAAACGGCCCGCCGUGGAGGGGCGUAGGGGGACCUGGAACUUCCGGUGGAGCGGUGAAAGUGCGUUGGAGAUCGGAAGGAACGCCCGUGGCGAAGGCGGCGCUCUGGAACAUU